GAUGAACGCUGGCGGCGUGCCUAAUACAUGCAAGUCGAGCGAACGGACGAGAAGCUUGCUUCUCUGAUGUUAGCGGCGGACGGGUGAGUAACACGUGGAUAACCUACCUAUAAGACUGGGAUAACUUCGGGAAACCGGAGCUAAUACCGGAUAAUAUUUUGAACCGCAUGGUUCAAAAGUAAAAGACGGUCUUGCUGUCACUUAUAGAUGGAUCCGCGCUGCAUUAGCUAGUUGGUAAGGUAACGGCUUACCAAGGCAACGAUGCAUAGCCGACCUGAGAGGGUGAUCGGCCACACUGGAACUGAGACACGGUCCAGACUCCUACGGGAGGCAGCAGUAGGGAAUCUUCCGCAAUGGGCGAAAGCCUGACGGAGCAACGCCGCGUGAGUGAUGAAGGUCUUCGGAUCGUAAAACUCUGUUAUUAGGGAAGAACAUAUGUGUAAGUAACUGUGCACAUCUUGACGGUACCCAAUCAGAAAGCCACGGCUAACUACGUG
rnacentral:rRNA from 1 species